GGGCGCAUAGCUCAGCUGGGAGAGCACCUGCCUUACAAGCAGGGGGUCACAGGUUCGAGCCCUGUUGCGCCCA
rfam:Alkaliphilus metalliredigens QYMF, complete genome.